GAGCGCAGUCGUGCAAUCAUGGCUCACUGCAGCCUUGAACUCCUAGGCUCAAGCGAUCCUCUUGCCUCAUCCUCUCGAGGAGCUAGGACCACAGAAUGUGUGGAAAUGACCUUGUGUGACUUCUGAGUCUCAGCUUCAAGACAUCUUGCAGCCUCUUGUCUCCUCAUCUUGGAAUGCAAUGCUGCCAUGUUAGAAAGCCUCCAAGAGGGUGAAUCAUCAUAUGAAGAGAAGCAACCAUGAAGGAUGACCCUAUGAUGAGAUGGUGCCAUCAGGAAGCACCAAGUGCCCAACAUGUCACUGUGGCCAUCUUGGACCAUUCAACCCCAAGUAAGCCACUAGAUGACUGCAGCCAUGUAGGUAACCCCUGGAAAGAUCAACAGAAGAACCACUAAGCUGAGCCCAGUCCAUAUUGCUCGCCUGUAGUAUUAUAAGCAAAUAAAAUGGUUGUUG
rnacentral:lncRNA from 1 species